AUGAAGAUAACCGUCAGAAAAGGACAUCCUUUCCUUGCUUCUGUGGCUUUGCAUCCAGGACGAACCUCUUCCCCACCUACACAGGGUUUUCUUCCUGAAGCUGCUGGCACUCAGGAACUGGGGACUCAGUGCCAGGUUGGCCGUGUCCUGCUGCAGAUGUGGGGACUUGUUCUCUGUCUCUUCCUGAUGGUGGGAGGUGCUUCAGGACAAGGCGUGGAGCAGCCUGCCACGUUGAUGUCUGUGGAAGGCUCCUUUGUUCAGAUCAACUGCACGUACAGCACGUCAGGGUUCAAUGGGUUAUCCUGGUACCAGCAACGCGAAGGCCGAGCGCCUAUAUUUCUCUCUUACGCGGUUCUGGAUGGUUUGAAGGACAGUGGGCCUUUUUCCACAUUCCUGAGGCGCUCAGAUGGGUACAGUUACCUCCUUCUGACAGAGCUCCAGAUCAAAGACACCGCCUCCUACCUCUGUGCUGUGAGGGACACGGUGACUGUGACGCCUCUGCAGCUGCACAAAAAUUCAAAGGGGGCCACAGCAGGGGAGGGGUUACAUUUCCUUAGUGUGUGCUUGCUGUGA